UUAUAUGCUUAUGGUACAUACACCAUGUCUACAAGCAUGCAAUAGAUGUCAACACCUUUUAAUGCAUUACAGAAUGAAUCAAGCAAAGAAACUGUUGCCUCCCCAUUAGAAGCAAAGGUGUUGCCCCAUGCACCUGUCAGCACGACCACCAUGGUAAAUUGGCUGCCUGCAACUUGUGCACACAUUGCUUCACCACUAAUUCCUUGGGAUUAAACUCUGACAUUGCAGGACGAUCUCCCAUCCCCUGACCGCAACAGCAUGGACCAAAUAAGUGACAAAGGAAAUAUGGAAUGUGCUUGCCAACCUGGCCUCCAGACAUUAAUGGCAGAGUACUCAAGAGAAGAAAAAGACGUGGCAAAUUUCCUACUAGAAAUGGCUUCACGGACAAGGCUUACAGAAAGCAAGGCUGCCCAAGUGACAUCGGGUACUUUUCCACAGAAGUUUGUGAACACGAUAAAUAGUAGCGACGUAAAUACAUUCACAGGCCUGCCAUCAUUCGAUGUUCUGAAUGCUCGUGUGACGUGCUACACAAAAAUUCAUCCACUUUCAGGACGGCACCAGUUAUGUGUAAAAACAAUUGCAUUGACAUUGGUGAAAUUGAAGCAUAUUUCCACUGCAUUCUUGAGUCACCUUUUUAACUGUUCUCUAACUACAUGUAGCAACAUAAUUGCAGAGACUGUUCAGUUGAUGUGUGAAAUUUUAAAGGUAACUGUGGCUGUGCCACCAAAAGAUGAAUUCCAGUGGCGCGUUUGCAUAUUCGGCAUUAGGUGAUUCACCUGAAGUCGUGCCAUGGCUGGCGAUAUUGCAAGUAGCCUGUAUUGCAUAGAGGCAUUUGUGCGUGUGACCUUGGCUCCAUCAAAGCGUGGCGGCCUUGAGAGUAAGUGCAGUCUUCUGUUUGGAAAUCCAGCAUUUUUUAUGCCACUCAGCCACUUCAUACUUUUCAGACACGGUCGUUGCCAUGUGAUCUACAUGCUGCACUUGUUUGCAUUGGCCAAACCUGCAGACUUCAACUUCAACACACUUUUUGUAAAUUAGCAAUGCACAUUCUUUUGCAACUUGUAUUCUUCAUUGAAGUGCUGAUUUACACUACGCAUUCUGAUGCAAGUUUUCAUCUUAUGGUAUUCCGAGAUAUUUGCAGUUCACUUAUGAUCUGUGUGCAUAGAGUUGUGGUUAUUCUUCAAUGGCGGUUUGUUGUCCCUUUCCUUACUUGUAUUUUUUCACAAAAUAAACCACAUGCACUCAA